UACGUAGGGGGCAAGCGUUGCCCGGAUUUAUUGGGCGUAAAGGGCGACUGUGAGCGGCUACGCACGUCCGUUGUGAAAUCGCUCGGCUCAACUGGGCGGGGUCAGCGGAUACGGUGUAGCUGGAGCAAGCUAGGGGGCAAUGGAAUUCCCAGUGUAGCGGUGAAAUGCGUAGAUAUUGGGAAGAACACCUGAGGCGAAGGCGGGAUGCUGGGCCGACACUGACGCUGAGGCGCGAAAGCCAGGGGAGCAAACAGG
rnacentral:rRNA from 1 species